CAGAUUUCCAUAGAGCAUGACUUUGCAUCAGCAGCACCAUGCUCCAGUGCUCUGGGAGAGUUUAUAGUCCUGAGAGUUGAAGACUGGAUGACUGACAGCUGUCCUUCAUCACAACAGAAGACUUGGAAAUCCUCCUGAUCAAAACCAUGACUUUGAUCUGCGUCCUCAUCUGGACUCUCCUCUGCUUCACUCAGGGGUCUGAUGGACAACAUGUUGUGACUCAGCCAGCAGCCAGAUCAGUGCAGCUUGGUCAGACCGUCUCUGUGGACUGUAAAGUCAGUCCACCAGCAGCUAGUGAUUUUCGUUUAAAACACGAUCUGUCCUGGUACCAUCAGACACCUGGAGAAGCUCCUAAACUCCUGAUUUAUUCUACCACGAUUCGCAAGUCUGAAUAUCCAAAUCAAUUCAGUGGACGUGGAUCAGGGAAUGGAGCUGACUUCACUCUGACCAUCAGUGCAGUUCAGGCUGAAGAUGCAGGAGUUUAUUACUGUCAGAGUUACCACCUUGGCGAUGUGUUCACACAGUGAAAAAGCAUCGUACAAAAACCUCUUUCAGUCUGACUGAACAGAAACUGAUGCAGCUCACUGAACACAUUCAGGUUUUCAGGCCAUGAUGAAUUAAACUUUGUUCCUAAAUAAUCAGAAGUUUUAGAAAAAAAAUGGUUUCAAAUAUUACAAUAGAAAUUAUCUUUAGUGAUGAUUAUCUUAACACCAACAACAUUUUUCAAUAAUUCUUUGCCACUUAAAAGAAGCAAAAAUCACUUUGAUUUUACAAAUGUUUUUUAUUCAGACAUGAAAUAUGAGCAAAACUGAAACAAAUUGUUAUUAUUCCUCAACUUUUUAUUCCUAACUGUUAGCAGGAGUCGUCUUCAAAACUGGUGUUGCCACACUGAGGGAAAUGUUUAGGACCCAAAUAUGCAGAUAACCCAGGAUGACUCGAGGCAGAAGUUGUAUAAGUAAAAAUCCUUUAUUCUUAGGAAGAACAAAAAAUAAAUCCAAACAUGGCAGCGGGCCAAAAGUCCAAAAGUCCUGGAGAACAUAACAUCAAAAAGCUCUCUCAGAGCACCAAAACAUGGAUACCAAAGCUCACGAAGAGCACGAAGACCUGGAGAUAAAAGCUCAAACAGAGCACGAACAAACACUGACGAACAUACAAUGGACCGACACAACACAGAGACAAGACAGGGCUUAUAUAGACUGGGAAGAAGAGAGGGAGAUGAAUUGCAGGUGUGUGGGGAGAGGGACCAGGUGAACACAAUUACUAAAUCAGGGAGGAGGAAAAAACACAGGUGGGAAAAAACACACUAAAUAAAGAAAGGCUGUAACAAAGGAAAAUUACCUAAGAGAAAAACAAAAGAUCAGAAGGCAAUAACCAUAACUAAUAUUCUAAGGGGAAGCUGACACUAAAGAAAAACACUACAGACAGAAACUACAGGGGCGUGGCUAAGAGGGAGCCAAGAGAGCACAGGACCUGGGAGGGGGGAUGUCUGAGGAGGGAAACCUAGAGGGCAAAUGGGGAACAGCAGGAGACACAUGAGGAAGAUGCAGACACGACACAUGAGGGUGCUAGAAGACACAAAAUGAGCACCUAGAGAUGAAUGGAGGACAAAAGGAGACACAUGAGAUGAGACGCCGACACAGACCAUGACAGUACCCCCCCCCC